CAGUGGCAGACACGGAACGAUGGCGCGUGCCGCGCCUAAUUCGAACUACUAGAAAUGAAGGUGGUGUGCUGUCGGGCACUCUGGCAGGAACCGUUACGACGAAGCGGAGUGUUGGAGUUCCCAGGAGGCGCAAACAAAGAAAGCAUUUAUGCGAUCUGUGAGUGCAACGAGGAAAACGUGGCUGCUUCGGAUGAAAAAAAGUAUCUGAGAAGCCUGCAGAAAGUGACCAUGCUUCCAGCAACCCAAUCCCUUGUCCUGAUGCGCUACUUGAACUAAAGGCAAUUGAAGACAUGGUCACAGACCCCUUUUGUAUGGACCUUGGGCGAAUGAAAAUUCUUUUGGCCGCAACUGCAGAGGCCCGCCGCUCCAAUGCACCAGAUAAUUUGCCGUCAUAUUUUUUCAAUCCUGACGUGGUAAGAUCACUCAUGUUUUUCAAAUUUUGUGCGUCUGCUGUGUAAGGUUAAGAGUGCUUUAUUUUGUAAGCUGUGAUUUAUGUUUAGUCGGCUGUGCUGUUUAUAGCAUUUGAUGAAUGGUAAAAAGUGAGUGCUCAUUUACGCAGACCGGCUUGCACUUUAUAACCUUUAACACCAUGAAAAAGCAUUGCUAUAACAAUGAAUGUUCAAAAAUCUAAUCUAAAUCAAAAUGAAUAUGGAAUCAACUCCACUGCUAGAGUAGUUGUGUGAAAGUGAUAUUUUUUCUCAUCAUAUCGUUCAGCAGAAUUAAAGUAUUUGAAGCCAACCUAGGUCCUGUUUUUGCUUCAGUGGGCCAUAAAUUAUCAGUCAAUGUGCAU
rnacentral:lncRNA from 1 species